rnacentral:miRNA from 1 species
CUCCACAAGCUCGGGCCCAGU